rnacentral:tRNA from 1 species
GCGGCAGCAGCUCAGCAUCCGGCUUCGGACCGGACGGUAGGGGUUCGAGUCCUCUCUGCCGCACCA